rnacentral:lncRNA from 1 species
AUUGUAUUGAGAAUAUAUUGGAAAUUGGAUAUCGAUGUGUCAGGAAAUCCAAGCAAAUCAUUUAUGCAAGUCUCAAAGAACACAUGUGAUAUAUUGUUGAACUAUUUGCCUACACUUUGCUUCAAGGGUGACGUUAUUGUGAUUAAAUUUUGGAAAUGGGAAUAUGUUGCAAGGUUUUAAAGUUUCAUUGUUUCUUUAAUGGAUGAUUU